CGUGAGGGAAAGGUGAAAAGAACCCCGGGAGGGGAGUGAAAUAGAACCUGAAACCGUGUGCCUACAACCGGUCGAAGCACAUUAAUGUGUGACGACGUGCUUUUUGUAGAACGAGCCAGCGAGUUACGGUAUGUAGCAAGGUUAAGCACUUAAGGUGCGGAGCCGAAGGGAAACCGAGUCUGAAUAGGGCGACUAGUUGCAUGCUGUAGACCCGAAACCGGGUGACCUAUCCAUGGACAGGUUGAAGCGGAAGUAAAAUUCCGUGGAGGACCGAACCAAAUUGGUGUUGAAAAACCAUGGGAUGAGCUGUGGAUAGCGGAGAAAUUCCAAUCGAACUCGGAGAUAGCUGGUUCUCCUCGAAAUAGCUUUAGGGCUAGCGUCUGGUAAUUAAGUAAUGGAGGUAGAGCACUGAAUGGGCUAGGGGCUGACAACAGUUACUGAACCCUAUCAAACUCCGAAUGCCAUAUACUUUUAUCCAGGCAGUCAGACUACGAAUGAUAAGAUCCGUGGUCAAAAGGGAAACAGCCCAGAUCAUCAGCUAAGGUCCCAAAGUGUAAGUUAAGUGGAAAAGGAUGUGGGAUUUCUAAGACAACUAGGAUGUUGGCUUAGAAGCAGCCACUCAUUUAAAGAGUGCGUAAUAGCUCACUAGUCAAGAGAUCCUGCGCCGAAGAUGUCCGGGGCUAAAACUUACCACCGAAGCUAUGGAUGUACACUACGUGUACGUGGUAGAGGAGCUUCCUGUAUGGGUUGAAGUCGUACCGAAAGGAACGGUGGACUGUACAGGAGUGAGUAUGCUGGCAUAAGUAGCGAGAAAUAAGUGAGAAUCUUAUUGGUCGAAAACCUAAGGUUUCCUGAGGAAGGUUCGUCCACUCAGGGUUAGUCGGGACCUAAGCCGAGGCCGAAAGGCGUAGGUGAUGGACAAUCGGUUGAUAUUCCGAUACCGCCAACUGCCGUUUGACAAAUGGGGUGACACAGUAGGAUAGGGUGUGCGCACUAUUGGAUGUGCGUCUAAGCAUUUAGGAGUGACUGGCAGGCAAAUCCGCUAGUUGAAUCUGAGGUGUUAUGGGGAGCCAAUUUUGGCGAAGUACCUGAUUCCACACUGUCGAGAAAAGCCUCUAUGGAGGAAGUUGGUGCCCGUACCGCAAACCGACACAGGUAGGUGAGGAGAGAAUCCUAAGACCAUCGGAAGAAUUGUUGUUAAGGAACUCGGCAAAUUAGCCCCGUAACUUCGGGAGAAGGGGUGCCAUGGAAACAUGGUCGCAGUGAAUAGGCCCAAGCAACUGUUUAGCAAAAACACAGGUCUCUGCUAAAGCGAAAGCUGAUGUAUAGGGGCUGACGCCUGCCCGGUGCUGGAAGGUUAAGGGGAUCCGUUAACGUAAGUGAAGCGGUGAACUUAAGCCCCAGUAAACGGCGGCCGUAACUAUAACGGUCCUAAGGUAGCGAAAUUCCUUGUCGGGUAAGUUCCGACCCGCACGAAAGGCGUAACGAUCUGGGCACUGUCUCAACAAUAGACUCGGUGAAAUUGUAGUACCGGUAAAGAUGCCGGUUACCCGCAGCAGGACGGAAAGACCCCGUGGAGCUUUACUGCAGCUUGAUAUUGGAUCUCGGCGUUGCAUGUACAGGAUAGGUGGGAGGCUGUGAAGCCAGUACGCCAGUAUUGGUGGAGUCACCGUUGGGAUACCACUCUUGCAACGUUGAGAUUCUAACUGUGCACUGUGAUCCAGUGCCAGGACAGUGUCAGGUGGGCAGUUUGACUGGGGCGGUCGCCUCCUAAAGAGUAACGGAGGCGCCCAAAGGU
rnacentral:rRNA from 1 species